GACGAACGCUGGCGGCGUGCUUAACACAUGCAAGUCGAACGGAAAGGCCCUGCUUUUGUGGGGUGCCCGAGUGGCGAACGGGUGAGUAACACGUGAGUAACCUGCCCUUGACUUUGGGAUAACUUCAGGAAACUGGGGCUAAUACCGGAUAGGAGCUCCUGCUGCAUGGUGGGGGUUGGAAAGUUUCGGCGGUUGGGGAUGGACUCGCGGCUUAUCAGCUUGUGGGUGGGGUAGUGGCUUACCAAGGCUUUGACGGGUAGCCGGCCUGAGAGGGUGACCGGGGACAUUGGGACUGAGAUACGGAGCAGACGCCUACGGGAGGCAGCAGGGGGGAGUAUUGCACAAUGGGCGGAAGCCUGAUGCAGCAACGCCGCGGGCGGGAUGACGGCCUUCGGGUUGUAAACCGCUUUCGCCUGUGACGAAGCGUGAGUGACGGUAAUGGGUAAAGAAGCACCGGCUAACUACGUG
rnacentral:rRNA from 1 species